ensembl:snRNA U6 U6 spliceosomal RNA
AUGCUCGCUUCAGCACAUAUACUAAAAUUGCAAUGAUACAAAGAGGAUUAGGAUGGCCUCUGUGCAAGGAUGAUACACAAAUUCAUAAAAUUACUUUCAUUAUG